rnacentral:tRNA from 1 species
GGGUAUGUAGUUCAGCCCGGCAGAACGACCGGACGGAGCCUCAAGGGGCGCGAGUCCGCGCGGCGCGCAUCGGUACACCGUUCCGGAAGGACUGGGGUUCGAAUCCCCACAUACCCA